UCAUUUUAAAAAUCCUGCUGCUAUUCAAAUUAGCCACACCGUGGGAUGUAAGGAGCUCUCUGAUUGGUUGGUCAGACACAGGCUGUCUGCCAGCCUGGAUUUUUCUAGCUCAUAGCUUCGCCCUGCUACGAAGCGUGUGUGCUUGUACAAAGGCCGUUCAGCCUCGGGAUUUACACUCGGCUCGACACGGAUAUGGGAAGAAUGAAGGGACCCUGCAGCGAAACGGAGAGCCAACCUCUGACUGAGUGCCCGUUUACUCAGUCUGACCACCUGUUGAAGGGCUGUUUGAUGACGAUUUGGACUCCUCUGGGAGAUGAGGACACACCCACAUCUGUUCCAUACUGCAGCCAUGGAUGGUGUUACGGCUCUGAGUCAGCUUUAGGCCAUCAGAUGCACACACUGGAAAACCAGCGCCUGUACUUCAUGCAGGAGAGACGGCCUCAGUGAUAAUUCAUCAGCAGCUGUGAAGAGAUGUAUUUGAAUAUCUUCUGGUUCCACUUUUCUUAACCUGGAAGCUGAG